rnacentral:rRNA from 2 species
AUCCUAACCGUGCGAAGGUAGCAUAAUCACUUGUUCUUUAAAUGAGGACUUGUAUCAACGGCAUCACGAGGGUUAUACUGUCUCCUUUUUCUAAUCAGUGAAACUAAUCUUCCCGUGAAGAAGCGGGAAUACUCCCAUAAGACGAGAAGACCCCAUGGAGCUUCAAACCCAAUUACACCCCUAACCCAUAUAACUAUUUAACCCUUAGGGCCCUGUACCAUUGGUUUUAGGUUGGGGCGACCACGGAGUACAACAAAACCUCCACAAUGAACGGAACUACUCCCUCAUCUAAGAGCUACACCUCUAAGAAUUAAAAUAUUAACAUAAAAUGAUCCAUUUUUUGAUCAAUGAACCAAGUUACCCUGGGGAUAACAGCGCAAUCCAUUUCAAGAGCCCCUAUCGACAAAUGGGUUUACGACCUCGAUGUUGGAUCAGGGUAUCCUAGUGGUGCAGCAGCUACUGAAGGUUCGUUUGUUCAACGAUCAAAACCCU